CGCUGACGCCGCCCGCGCCAUCUUGACCGAGGGCAGCCGUCCGCUAUUUCCGUUCCUUCUCCGACCUGGACCGCCAUCUUCGGUGAGGGACUUUACUUCAAAAUGAGAACCCGGCUGGGAAAGGCCCGUGAAUAGAGCCAAAUCUGCCGUAAUAGACAAAAUGAAUGAGUGAGCCUGCAGAGUGGAAGAGGGAGGCCCUGAUGAUGUCAAGGAAGCUGCAUGGGCUAGGCCCAAUUCAUGUUUCUUGAAUUGUGGAACGCAUUCCUCUUUCUUCUGAAAAACGUCAUGAUCUCACCGUUCAGGAGUUCAAGCCCCGCAUCAGGCUGUAUACGGACAGCUGAGCCUGGAGCCUGCUUCGGAUUCUGUCUCCCUCUCUCUCUGCCCUUCCCCCGCUUGUGCUAGACUCUCUCUCUCAAAAAUAAACUUGAAAAAAGAAGGGGCACCUGAGUGGCUCAGUCAGUUAAGCGUCUGACUUCGGCUCAGGUCAUGAUCUCGCAGUUUGUGAGUUCAAGCCCCCUAUUGGGCUCCGUGCUGACAGCUUGAAGCCUGGAGCCUGCUUUGGAUUCUGUGUCUCCCUCUCUCUCUGCCCCUCCCCCACCCACACUCUGUCUCUCUCUCACUCUCAAAAAUAAAUAAACACUAAAAAAAAUUUUUUUUAAUGCAGAAAGUCAAAGACAAACAAAACUCUUGAAAAAGCCAGAGAAAAGAAAACCCUUACUAAUAGAAGAGCAAAAUAAGAUUUACAUCAGACUUUUCUUUAGAAAGCAUGUAAUAAGAGAGGGAAGUGAAAUACUUAAAGUGUUGGGGGGGGAAAAAAACACCAACCUACAGUUCUGUGCCCAGUGAAAUUAUUCUGCAAAAGUGAAAUAGAAGUACAGGCAUACCUUGGAGAUGCUGUGGUUCAGUUCCAGACCACUGCAGUAAAGCAAGUACCGUGAUAAAGCAAGCCAAAUGGAUGUUUUGGCACAUAAAAGUUAAUGUGCAAUGGCAUCAUGUCUUAAAAAAGUACACUAAUUUAAAAUACUUUAUUACUAAAAAUGCUAACUGUCAUCUGAGCUCUCAGCCAGUCGUAAUCACUGAUCAUGGACCACCAUAAUAAGUAUCCUAAUGAAAAAUUUGAAACACCACAAGAUUUACCAAAAUGUGACACACAGACAUGAAGUGAGAAAAUAUCAUUGGAAAAGUAUUGCCAACAAAUUUGCACGAUGCAGGAUUGCCACAAAUCUUCCAUUGGUAAAACACAGUAUCUGCAAAACACAGUAAGGUGAAGUGUAAUAAAAUGAAGUAUUCCUGUAAAGGCUCCUCAAACAAAAAUGGAGGGUGUCUAUCACCAGUAAACCUGAUUGGCAAAGGAUGUUAAAGAAGAUUCUUAAGGAAAAUAAUUCAGAAACCAAUCCACAUAAAAAAAGGAAAAGCAUUUGGAGAAGGAAUAAAUGGAGAUAAAAUCAAAUGUUUCAUUUUUAAAAAUUUAAUUGCUUGUGGGCCGCUGGGUGGCUCUGUUGGUUGAGCAUCUGACUUCGGCAUAGGUCAUAAUCUCACGGUUUGUGGGUUCAAGGCCCGCGUCAGGCUCUGUGCUGAUAGCUCAGAGUCUGGAGCCUGCUUCUGAUCCUGUGUCUCCCUCUCUCUCUGCCCCUCCCCUUCUUGCAUUCUGUCACUCUCUCAAAAAUAAAUGAACAUUAAAAAUUUUUUUUUAUUUAAUUGCUCUAACAGAUAAUAGGCAGUUCAAAAUAAUAAUAGCAACUUGUAUAGGGUAAUUUUACAAGUUUAUGGGUAAGUUGAGUGAGUGACAGCAAUGUUAUAAUGGAUGGGAGGGAGGAAUUGGAAAUACUCGUAUAAGGUACUUGCACUGCCUGUGAAGUGGUGUAGUAUUCUUUGAAAGAGAAGUUGGAUUAGUUGUAAGUGUAUAAUGCAAACUCAAGGACAACCACUUAGAAAAGAAAAAAAAGGUGCUAUGCUGAGAGAGGAGUAAAACAGAAUCAUGAAAUGCAUAAUUUAAACCAGAGAAGGCAGGAAAAGACUGGAGGACAGAAAGAAAAAGAAAAGAAAGAAAGAAAAAGAAAGAAAGAAAGAAAGACGAAAGAAACCAAGAACAAGAGCAAUGAAUAGAAAACAAUAACAAAUAUAGUAGAUAUUAAUCCAGUUGUAUCAACAAUUACUUUAAAUGUCAAUGGUCUAAAUACACCAAUUAAAAGACAGACUGUCAGACUGGAUAAAAAAAAUAAGACCCAACUAUAUGUUAUCUACCGAAAAAAACACUUUAAAUGUGAAAGCAAAGAUAGAUUAAAAGUAAAGGGAUGAAUAAAGAUAUACUAUUGUUAACACUAGUCAAAAACUGGAGUAGCUACAUUAAUUUCAGCAAAGUAAAUUUCAGAGCAAGGAAAGUCAGGGAUAAAGAGGACCAUUACAUAAUGAUAAACUGGGCAAUUCUCCAAGAAGACAAUUUUUAACAUGUAUACAAUUAGCACAGAGGGGCAAACUAUGUGAAGUAAAAACAGAAUUGCGAGAACUAGAUGAAUCCACUAUGAUAGAGACUUCAGCACCCUAUAUCAGUAACUGACAGAUCCAACAAGCAGAAAAUCAAUAAGGACAUGAUUGAACUCAACAACUCCAUCAAUCAACUGGAUCUAACUGACAUCUAUAGAAUACUUAAUCCAACAGCAGCAGAAUACACACUCAAGCUCGCAAGGAACAGUCACCGAAAUAGACUACCUGCUGUGCCACAAAUUUCAAAGAAUAGAAAUCAUACAAAGUAUGCUUUCAGACCAAAGUGGAAUUAAGGUAAAAAUCAACAACAGAAAAGUAGUUGGCGAAUUCCAAAAUAUUCAAAGAUUAAACAACACACUUCUAAACAACACUUGGGUCAAAGAAGAAGUUUGAAAAGAAAUUUAGAAAUAUUUUGAACCAAAUGAAAAUACAAAUGACCCUUGAACAAUGCUGGGGUUAGGGGGGUGCCAAACCCCACAUAGUCAACAAUCCACAUAUAAAUUUUGACUUCCCAAAAACAUAGCUACUAAUAGCCUACUCUUGACCAGAAGCCUUAUCAGUAGCCUAAGCAGCUGAUGAGCACGUAUUUUUUGUGUUAUAUGUAUUAUUUACUAUAUUCUUACAAAUGAAGUAAGCUAGAGAAAGAUGUUAUUAAGAAAGUCAUAAAGAAGAGAAAAUACAUUUAUAGUACAUAUUUCUCAAAAUCCACAAAUAAGUGGGUGAGUGUGUAUUCAAGAAUCAACUGUACAACUUACUAGGUUUGUGAGAGCAGCAGUGCUUAGAGGAGAUUUAUAACAUUGGAUACAUAUACUAGAAAAAAAUCUAAGCUAUCUCAGGAAACUAGAAAAAGAAGAGACAAAUCCAAAAUAAUCAGAAAAAUAAAGAGCAAAAGUAAAUGAAAAUACAAGAAAUCAAUAGAGAAAUUCCAACAAAACCAAAAACUAGUUCUUUUAAAAGGUCGGUAAAAUUGACACACCUCUAGUAAGACAGACAAAAUGAGAAUACAAAUUACCAAUAUCAGAAAUGAAAGAAGGACCAUCACUACUUAUCCCAUGGACAUUAAAAGUAUUAACAAAGGAAUAUUAUGAACAACUCUAUGUCCAUACAUAUGAUAACCUAAAGGAAAUGCAUCAAUUCUUUGAAAGGUGCAAUCUACCAAAUCUCACACAAAAAUAAAUAGAUAAUCUGAUUAGGCCUAUAGCAAAAGUAAUGGAAUAAUAAUUAAAAACCUUUGAAAACAGAAAACCCCAGGGUUGGGUUGGGUUCAUUGGUGAAUUCUACGAAACAUUGAAGGAAGAAAUUAUACCACCUCUCCAUAGUCUCUUCCAGAAAAUAGAAGCAAUUCAUUUUAUGAGGCCAGCAUUAUCUUAAUACCAAAAUGAGACAAAGACAUUGCAAGAAAACUACAGACCAUAUCUCUAAUGAACAUACAUGUGAAAAUCCUCAACAAAAUGUUAGUAAAUCAAAUUCAACUAUAUAGAGAAUCAUACACUCUUAUACCUUUCAAAAACAAUGUAAUCCAUGUCAUUAACAUGUUAAAGAAACAAAAUCAUAUCAUAUCAAUAGAUGCAGAAAAAGUAUCUGACAAAACUCAACAUUUAUUCAUGAUAAAAAUUCUCGGCACUAGGAAUAAAGAGAAACUUCCUCAACUUGAGGAAGAACAUCUACAAAAAAAACCCAUACA